rnacentral:rRNA from 1 species
GUAAGGAAUAUUGGGCAAUGGAGGCAACUCUGACCCAGCCAUCCCGCGUGAAGGAUUAAGGCCCUAUGGGUUGUAAACUUCUUUUGUUUGGGAAGAAAUCAGGACAUUCAUGUGCUGUUGACGGUACCUUACGAAUAAGCACCGGCUAACUCCGUGCCAGCAGCCGCGGUAAUACGGAGGGUGCAAGCGUUAUCCGGAAUCACUGGGUUUAAAGGGUGCGUAGGCGGUUUGAUAAGUCAGAGGUGAAAGCUAGCAGCUUAACUGUUAAAUUGCCUUUGAUACUGUCAGACUUGAAUCAAGUUGAGGUAGGCGGAAUGUGACAUGUAGCGGUGAAAUGCAUAGAUAUGUCAUAGAACACCAAUUGCGUAGGCAGCUUGCUGGGCUUGAAUUGACGCUGAGGCACGAAAGCGUGGGGAUCAAACAGGAUUAGAAACCCGAGUAGUCC